GCUUGCAUGGCCUAGUGGUUUGUGUGUUGGACUGCAACUCUGGAGAUCAGGGUUCGAUUCCUAGCUCAGCCA
rnacentral:tRNA from 1 species